CUAAAAACUUAGCUUAUCUAAUUCUUAUGUACUCCCCUCCCCCACAAAUAAACUCAAUAAAACAUUUUUCACAUUAAGUAAAGGCGAUUAAAAAAUGUCUAAAAGCUAUAGAAACUAGUACCGCAAGGGAAAAGUGAAAUAAAAAUGAAAAACCUCAAGCACAAAAAAGCAGAGUUACAAUCUCGUACCUUUUGCAUCAUGGUCUAACUAGUCUAACCAAGCAAAAUGAAUUUUAAGUUUGACCCCCCGAAACUAGAUGAGCUACUUAAAAACAGCCUUUAGGGCCAACCCGUCCAUGUUGCAAAAUGGUGGGAAGAUUUUUAAGUAGAAGUGAUAGACCUACCGAAUCUAGAGAUAGCUGGUUAUUCAGGAAAAGGAUUUUAGUCCUACCUUAGGUUUACUAUAUAGUUUACAAUACUACCACAACCUUAAGAGCUAUUCAAAUAAGGUACAGCCUAUUUGAAACAGGAUACAACCUCUACU
rnacentral:rRNA from 1 species